AGAGAGCAACAUGACCAAAUUAGCUAUAAAUAUAGCUACUCAAUGAACAAGAAAGCACAUCCCACACUCAACUUCUAACAAAUAUAAAGAUCACAAUCUCAAGAUGUCGUCCAAUCCUCUCCGAUCAUGGCCAGCACUGAACUUCGUGGAUGCAAACACGGUAGCAAAUAUCAUCAAGAAAGAACAUCCUAACUUCCACAUAGUCAUAUUGUUGGCAGGAACACCAGUUACACUAGAUCUUCAACAUGGUCGAGUUCGACUAUUUACUAAUAUACAAGGACUAGUGGUUCAUGCUCCUCAAGAGGGCUGAAAUGUAAACAUAUAUGUUUCAUAGAAUAAUUAAAUAAAGUAGAAUCUAUUUCUACUACUUCUUUU